AAUAGGAAAAUGACAAAUCAAGUUUUUUUCUCUUGAACUUUAAUUUUUUUUUUCUUCUGAAACAAUUUAAAUCUAACUGAAAAUACUCAAAAUCAAGAGGAAAAAUCUGAUUUGUCAUUCUCUUAUU
rfam:Gossypium hirsutum cultivar TM-1 chromosome 5, whole genome shotgun sequence